rfam:Roseovarius sp. BRH_c41 BRHa_1006038, whole genome shotgun sequence.
AUGACGGACCGGGCCCCUCUGACGAUGGUCUCCCAUCGUGAUGUCGGACCGUAACA